AUAAUGGGUCAGCGACUUAUAUUCUGUAGCAAGGUUAACCGAAUAGGGGAGCCGAAGGGAAACCGAGUCUUAACUGGGCGUUAAGUUGCAGGGUAUAGACCCGAAACCCGGUGAUCUAGCCAUGGGCAGGUUGAAGGUUGGGUAACACUAACUGGAGGACCGAACCGACUAAUGUUGAAAAAUUAGCGGAUGACUUGUGGCUGGGGGUGAAAGGCCAAUCAAACCGGGAGAUAGCUGGUUCUCCCCGAAAGCUAUUUAGGUAGCGCCUCGUGAAUUCAUCUCCGGGGGUAGAGCACUGUUUCGGCAAGGGGGUCAUCCCGACUUACCAACCCGAUGCAAACUGCGAAUACCGGAGAAUGUUAUCACGGGAGACACACGGCGGGUGCUAACGUCCGUCGUGAAGAGGGAAACAACCCAGACCGCCAGCUAAGGUCCCAAAGUCAUGGUUAAGUGGGAAACGAUGUGGGAAGGCCCAGACAGCCAGGAUGUUGGCUUAGAAGCAGCCAUCAUUUAAAGAAAGCGUAAUAGCUCACUGGUCGAGUCGGCCUGCGCGGAAGAUGUAACGGGGCUAAACCAUGCACCGAAGCUGCGGCAGCGACGCUGAUGCGUUGUUGGGUAGGGGAGCGUUCUGUAAGCCUGCGAAGGUGUGCUGUGAGG
rnacentral:rRNA from 1 species